rnacentral:rRNA from 1 species
CCUACGGGUGGCAGCAGUGGGGAAUAUUGGGCAAUGGAGGCAACUCUGACCCAGCAACGCCGCGUGAAUGAUGAAGGUCUUCGGAUUGUAAAGUUCUUUUCUAAGGGAAGAAGAAAGUGACGGUACCUUAGGAAUAAGCCUCGGCUAACUACGUGCCAGCAGCCGCGGUAAUACGUAGGAGGCAAGCGUUAUCCGGAAUGACUGGGCGUAAAGGGUGCGUAGGUGGUUUGACAAGUUGGUAGCGUAACUCCGGAGCUCAACUUCGGAACUACUACCAAAACUGUUGGACUCGAGUGCAGGAGGGGUAAGUGGAAGUCCCGGUGUAGCGGUGGAAUGCGUAGAUAUCGGGAGGAACACCAGAGGCGAAGGCGACUUACUGGACUGUAACUGACGCUGAGGCUCGAAAGCGUGGGGAGCAAACAGGAUUAGAUACCCUGGUAGUC